rnacentral:rRNA from 1 species
UACGUAGGCAGCGAGCGUUGUUCGGAGUUACUGGGCGUAAAGGGUGUGUAGGCGGUUGUUUAAGUUUGGUGUGAAAUCUCCCGGCUCAACUGGGAGGGUGCGCCGAAUACUGAAUGACUUCGAGUGCGGGAGAGGAGAGUGGAAUUCCUGGUGUAGCGGUGAAAUGCGUAGAUAUCAGGAGGAACACCGGUGGCGAAGGCGGGUCUCUGGGCCGAAAUUGACGCUGAGGAGCGAAAGCGUGGGGAGCAAACAGG